UGGGGAAUAUUGCGCAAUGGAGGAAACUCUGACGCAGCAACGCCGCGUGUGUGAAGAAGGCCCUCGGGUCGUAAAGCACUGUUGAGUAGGAAGAGACGACUGUGGUUAAUACCCACGGUCCCGACGGUACUACUUUAGAAAGCACCGGCUAACUCCGUGCCAGCAGCCGCGGCAAUACGGAGGGUGCAAGCGUUGUUCGGAAUUAUUGGGCGUAAAGGGCGCGUAGGCGGGCCAUUAAGUCUGAUGUGAAAUCCCUCGGCUCAACCGAGGACGUGCAUUGGAAACUGAUGGUCUUGAGUCCUGGAGAGGAAAGCGGAAUUCCCAGUGUAGAGGUGAAAUUCGUAGAUAUUGGGAGGAACACCAGCGGCGAAGGCGGCUUUCUGGACAGUGACUGACGCUGAGGUGCGAAAGCGUGGGUAGCAAACAGG
rnacentral:rRNA from 1 species